rnacentral:rRNA from 1 species
AUUGAACGCUGGCGGCAGGCCUAACACAUGCAAGUCGAGGGACCGGCGCACGGGAGAGUAACACGUAUCCAACCUGCCCUUUACUCGUGGAUAGCCUUUCGAAAGAAAGAUUAAUACCCGAUGUAAAGGAUGGGGAUGCGUUCCCUUAGGUUGUUGGUGAGGGAACGGCUGACCAAGCGUUUGAUGGAUAGGGGUUCGGAGAGGAAGGGCACCCACAUUGACACUGAGACACGGCCCAAAGUCCUACGUGAGGCAGGAGUGAGGAAUAUUGGUAAAAGGGCGUUAGCAUGAACCAGCCAAGUAGCGUGAAGGAUGAAGGCUUAUGGGUCGUAAACUUCUUUUAUAGAAGAAUAUGUAUUAUAUGAAUAAGGAUCGGCUAACUCCGUGCCAGCAGCCGCGGUAAUUC